rnacentral:rRNA from 1 species
CGGGGGGCAGCAGUGGGGAAUAUUGGACAAUGGGGGAAACCCUGAUCCAGCGAUGCCGCGUGAGUGAAGAAGGCCCUAGGGUUGUAAAGCUCUUUCAGUGGGGAAGAUAAUGACGGUACCCAAAGAAGAAGCACCGGCUAACUCCGUGCCAGCAGCCGCGGUAAUACGGAGGGUGCAAGCGUUGUUCGGAAUUACUGGGCGUAAAGAGCGCGUAGGCGGUUUAGUAAGUCAGACGUGAAAGCCCUGGGCUUAACCCAGGAUGUGCGUUUGAAACUGCUGAGCUAGAGGACCAGAGAGGUGAGUGGAAUUCCUAGUGUAGAGGUGAAAUUCGUAGAUAUUAGGAGGAACAUCAGUGGCGAAGGCGGCUCACUGGCUGGUAACUGACGCUGAGGCGCGAAAGCGUGGGGAGCAAACAGGAUUAGAUACCCGAGU